GUUUCCGUAGGUGAACCUGNGGAAGGAUCAUUAUUGAAUUAACUUGUC
rnacentral:rRNA from 1 species